GCCUGGAUCUCCUCACCUGCCAGGAACUUCCUCUCCACAAGCCGGCCAUCCCAGCAAAAGUUCUAACACCAAAGGUCUGGCAACUAGCCUGCCAUCUUGUGCCUGGAGCCGCCUGCGUGCCACCUACUCCCGAAGAUGGGAACCUUGUUGCCAGUUGGGCAGAUGCGGGGCAAUCCUGUACCAAGACCCCAUUUUACCACCUGCUUUCUCAGACCACUCUGGAACCCACUGUCUCAGAUUGUGUCCUCCAGGAAGCAGACCAUGAGAGGGAGUUGGCAGGGCCAAAGAUUUACUGGGGCUAACUAACACUCAGGAAAGGGAUAGGAAGGAAACAGGGCUGGAGAGCAGGUUGAGCCCGACCUGACAGUCUCGAGCAGCCCAACAGGGAGGUGUGGAGCAAGGGUUGCCCACUAGAGGGGCCUGCAUUGGGUACGGGUGAUGGGGUCCACAUGGUACCUGGCAUAUAGCAGGCUGUGCAAUCCAUAUUAACUGACUGGAUAAAUUAAUGCCCAGAAAAGGUGCCCUGGAGAAUGGGUGUGUGCUGAACACAAUAGGGAAGGGCCCAGCAUCUGCCUUGGCAUAGGCAGAACUGUGCUGUGCCCUGCAACAGGCCACCUGAGAGCUGCUUUGAUCUUGUGUGUACAUUAGAUGACUGCCAGGGGCAUGAAGGGGAUGUGCUUCCAGGGCAUUUGCUGGCAGGGCGUCUCGUGAUCUCUUGGUAUUGGUGUGAGCACAGCCUGGCAGGAGAGGGCAGAUCUCCAUGCAAAGUAUGUCAGAAAGCAGAUGGAAGCCAGGCCCCCUCCUGAAAGAGGCUCCUUGAAGGCUCCUGGGACCACAUUAUCAUUCUCUUCACUCGAGAGAUGAGGACACUGAAAUUCAGAGAGGGGAAGUGAUUUGCCUCAGCUUGUACUAAAGAAACAUUUCAACAGAGAACCCAGUGGAAAUUAUGACAUGUUAUCUUCUCAGAGUCCUGAACUCCCAUCCCUACCUCAGAAGAGACUCCUCUGUUCACAGAAGCUAAAGGCAGUUCCUUCCCAAUGGCAACUAUGUUUGGAUGUUGGAUCUACACUUUCUCAAGCACUGUGAUCUUCAAAUGUAAGUUUAGUAACAUAAAUAUCUUUUUGCAGCCUGAAAGAAUUUUAUGUCUCUGUGUUAUCAGGUAAUGUUUCAGUAUCUCAUAUUUUGC
rnacentral:lncRNA from 10 species